CGGUACCGGGAGCCCGCACCCCCGGGGAGGGGGAUCCCGCAGCCCCGGGGGGGUUUAGCGGGGGUAGAACCGGCGCGGUGGGCCCGGGGUCGCCCCCCGGGGCGGCGGGAGCGUCGCGGGGGCGGCGGGCGGGUGUCGGUUCUUGGCGCCGCUCCCCGCGGUGUCCGUGGGUCCCGGGUUCGCGUCCCGGCUGCUCCGGGCCGGGUCGGUGCUGAGCGGAGCUGGAGGAGCCGGCGGCUCGUUGGUUCAUCGGCACCGGGGGCCGGUGGGGAGGGGUUGGCCCGGUUCCCCGGGGGGUCCCCCGGCUGCUUCUCGCGAGGGGAACGGGAGGAACCGGCCAUCUUGCGCGGGCCCGUGUCGGCAGCGCGGAGGUGCGAGUGGCCUUGGGUGCGCUGGGGACACGGAGGGGACGCUGGGUUGGGGACACACGGCACGUUGGGGACAGGGCUGGUGUCACUCUUGAGAAGCAACCCCAGCAGAAUCUGAACUGGUGAGUCCCUGCCAGGGCGAUGUCACGGCGGGUGGGUGACACCCCGCGGCGGGUGGGUGACACCCCAUGGUGGGUGGGUGACACCGGCUGGGUGACCAGCUCGGAUCUGACAGCCGCUCUCUGCAGGUUUCCUGCCGACUCCCAUCAAAAGGCCAAGCCGAGGCUCUCCUGUCCCCGGGCAGCGCCGCGGUGCCGCCGCUCGGGUUUUGCGGCCGGUGGCAGGAGCUGGUGCGGCGCCGAGGGCCGAGGCCACUCCCCGAGCUCCGCUGGGCUCUUUCUUUGCAGCCACAUAAGGAAUUCUGCUGCUGUAGCGCCGUUGUCAUGGGAACGCGCGUGUUUCUCCGGGUGUUGCGGUGGCUCCUGCGGCCCGGGGUCCCGGUUCGGUCCCCAUUUGGUCGCUGUGGUGUGGGGGAGCGAUGCUGAGCGCUGCCCUUGGCUUGUGGAGCUCCCAAAGGAAACCUGGAGUAACAGGGACGUGCUGCUCGGCCUGAAAGCGUCACCCUCGCCCUUUGGGGACACUCUGGGGACACCCCGGCUGUGCCCAGCGAGGGGGCGCGGGAGGGAGAUGGUUCUUUAAAGCAAGGGGUGUUUUUUGGGGUGUGUUCGGGAAUUCCGGGUGAAAUGAAACGAUGCGUUUCAAGCGGUGCUGGUGUGUCCCCAUCCCCCGGGACGCGGAGGAGACCCCCCCGCCUUGACGGCUCGUUUGUGUGGAGCAGCGUCCUCCCCAGUCCGGUUUAACGGCUCGGUUGGUUCCUCUUCCUCUGCAGAGGGAACGUGGGGGCUGCGGCGCGGCUGUGGCGAAUAUCAGGGCGUUGGGGUUGAAGCGCAGGGCGAGCUGCUCAUCGGGAAAUCAUUUGGGUUGGAAAAGGCCUUUAAGAUCGAGUCCAACCGUAAACCAGCCCCUGAGAACCUCAUCUGUGUGUUCAACCCCUCCAGGAUGGCGACUCCAGCACUGCCCUGGGCAGCCUGUUCAACACCCACAGCCCUUUGGGGAGAAAUCACCCCAAAUUUCCACCCUCACCCUCCCCUGGUGCCACUUGAGGCCGUUUCCUCCCAUCCUGUCGCUUGUUCCCGGGGAGCAGAACCCAACGCUUGUGUUUUCGCAACCUGUUUUUUGAAAUAGUCUGCGGGGAGGCGCCCGGCACCUUGUUGCUGGCUGGGGGAAGCGCUUGUAGGGGGAAGAGACCAGUAAUUGUGUCGGCUCUAACACUGGCGCCUUUCAUCGCGCUGCUCCUCCCUCCUCGGGCACCGCUGGACGCAGCGCGUCCUUGCAGGCUGCUUUGUUCCGAGGAGCUGGAAUAUUUCAUAUACGCCCGGCACGUGGCUCUGGAGAAGAUCACGGUGCUGCUUUGAAAUGGCAGCGACCUCGUCUUUGUACCGGCGCGGUGAUCCCACCGCCGAGCGGGAUCCCGUGCUCCCCGCUGCGGUGGCGAUGUUGGCAUCGUGGUCGAUGGCGGUGCGGCCGUAACGGGCCCGGCCGGGGCUGCGAUGGUUUCUGAGCUCAGUCCUUAAAGCCUCCAUCGCUUUUUGCGGUCGCGCUUCUGGCAAACGCGCGGUGCCCGAGGGCUCUUGGCAGCUUCCCCGGUUGUACCCAGGCGGCUGUUGCUGGGGAGCGGCCCCAUCAACCUGUGUCGAGGCUUUUUGUUGUUUUUCUCUGGGGUUUUAGUGAUUUGUGGGGAGGGAGGAAGCCCAGAUGAUGCGUUGGGGCCGCGCUGCUUCCAUCUCCCAACCUGUUAAUCCUCCUCGCGCUGCCGACAGGUGGGUUCGUUCCGAGCGGGUUCGUUCCGAGCGGGUUCAUUCCAAGCAGCGCUUGCCUGAGUAAACUGACCUGGUGCUAAAUAGCCGCUGUGGCGGGGCGCUGGCAAACAGGGCUGUGAUUGACGGCCCGGCGGGAUUACAGCAGCUGCGGAGGAGCCUCGUUAGCGUUAA